rnacentral:rRNA from 1 species
AUUGAACGCUGGCGGCAGGCCUAACACAUGCAAGUCGAGCGAGCGGCGGACGGGUGAGUAAUGUCUGGGAAACUGCCUGAUGGAGGGGGAUAACUACUGGAAACGGUAGCUAAUACCGCAUACCAUCAGAUGUGCCCAGAUGGGAUUAGCUAGUAGGUGGGGUAAUGGCUCACCUAGGCGACGAUCCCUAGCUGGUCUGAGAGGAUGACCAGCGAAACUGGAACGGAGACACGGGACAGAAGCCUAGGGGAGGAAGCAGUGGGGAAUAUUGCAAAAGGGGCGAAAGCCUGAUGCAGCCAUGCCGCGUGUGUGAAGAAGGCCUUCGGGGUGUAAAGCACUUUCAGCGGGGAGGCGUUACCCGCAGAAGAAGCACCGGCUAACUCCGUGCCAGCAGCCGCGGUAAUUC